GGCCACGAUGCUAAGCCCGUCAUUUGAGCCCAUUUGGUGUUUUUAUUUAAGUUAUUAAGUAGGUCAAAAUAUGGGGGAGAAUUAAUUUUUCAAAAAAAAAAAAGAAAAGAGGAAACCCUCCCUCUCUCCCCUGCCAGCCGCCUCUCACUCUUCUCCCUUAGCUGCCAGCCCCUCUCCCUUCUCCCCUCCAUCCCUUAGUCGUCACCUCUCCUCCCUUCUUCCCCUUUCCCCUUCCGCUUCCCCUCCCCUUUGUCCCUUCCCGUUUCUCUCCCCCUUUCAUUCCAACACCUCCCCUCCCUCUUCUCUUGUCCCUUCCCUCUCCUUGCAGCCCCUUCUCUACCUCCCUUUUCCCGGUGAAAUCCAUCAGGACACCCAGCAGCAGCCGAAACAACAGCAGGACAGCAACCCCACCAGCAGCAACUCCGACGAGAGCAGCUCCAGCAGUCGAGUCCAUCAGCAACAACAACUCCAACCAGCAGCGGCCAGAAAUCGACAACACAGCAGGCGAGGCGGGCAGCAGCUUGUAACAGCCGGCGAAGACAGCUGCGAGGCAGCGAGCCACCGGCAAUAGCAGUCUGGUGAGGAGCGGAAGCACCAAACGGCGGAGGCUGGACUUUCUUCCCUUCUUUCUUUAUCCUCUUCGUCCAGCAGCUCGAGGAGACACCACCAGCAACCACUCAUCCCCGGCGAAGCUCCAAAAUAUUGACGAACAGGGAACAGCUGAUCAGGAAGGAUGUCCAGCAUAAAAACACAGAAGGCAGCUGGAUAAUAGUGCAAACUGAUGGAGAAAAUCGGAGAAAUUUGACCAAUAGUGGAACUAUGGAAGGGAUCGACGGACCGUACUGGAAAACCGUUAAUUUGAUCAAUAAUAGUUCCAGUAACUGAAGUUGGAGAAAUUCAAAGGAUGGAGUGACGGAGGGCAUCAAUGGACUGUAGGUGUAUCGAUGGACCGUGUUGUUGGUUCGUUGAUUGAUUCAGAGAAGUUUCAAUAUGAAGGAGAUUAAAAAUUCUAAGUCUUGACUAACAGAGGCAGUUGACGGACCAUCAUUUCAUCGACGCUCAGUCUUUAGGAAUCAUCGAUCAAUGCCGCAUUUUGGACAAACUUUCCUUAUUUCAAUUCCUUUUAAUUUAGGACAAUAUUUUCUAUAAAUAGGGAUUAAAACCUCAUUUUGGGUUUAGAUAUUGUUAGUAUUGUUCUUGUUUUUGCUUAGAGAUUGGUUUUUGCAAACUUUGGCAAUAAUUCAAUUUCCGUUUUGGUUUGAAGAUUUA